rnacentral:rRNA from 1 species
AGUCAACGCUGGCGGUAGGCCUAACACAUGCAAGUCGAACGGCAGCACAGUAAGAGCUUGCUCUUACGGGUGGCGAGUGGCGGACGGGUGAGGAAUACAUCGGAAUCUACUUUUUCGUGGGGGAUAACGUAGGGAAACUUACGCUAAUACCGCAUACGACCUACGGGUGAAAGCAGGGGAUCUUCGGACCUUGCGCGAUUGAAUGAGCCGAUGUCGGAUUAGCUAGUUGGCGGGGUAAAGGCCCACCAAGGCGACGAUCCGUAGCUGGUCUGAGAGGAUGAUCAGCCACACUGGAACUGAGACACGGUCCAGACUCCUACGGGAGGCAGCAGUGGGGAAUAUUGGACAAUGGGCGCAAGCCUGAUCCAGCCAUACCGCGUGGGUGAAGAAGGCCUUCGGGUUGUAAAGCCCUUUUGUUGGGAAAGAAAAGCAGCAGGUUAAUACCCAGCUGUUCUGACGGUACCCAAAGAAUAAGCACCGGCUAACUUCGUG